rnacentral:lncRNA from 1 species
ACUGGGGCUCAAGUAUCUCUGCCCUCAGAGACUGCUACGGAGAGGGAGCAGCCUUGUGAAAGAAACCCAUCCAUUUUGCUUACCUGCUCACCCGCCAGGAUGUGGGCUUCUACGGUCGCCGUCGCCGGAAGCUUUGAGCAGCUUAAGGCCUGGAGCAGUGGCUACUGGGACCAUACCACAAAGGCCCUGCACAAAAGCUCUGUCAAGGCUGUCCUGUCAGGCAGAAGAGGUAGAGAUGGGGACACAGCCACAAGAUGCCACUCUUCAGAGUCUCUGGACCUGGUGUGCUGUCCUUUCUUUCCUCCAAGUGCUCAAAAUGUAUAGGCUGCUGAUUCAGGAUGAAGAUGGCAUCAGGUCUUGCAGAGCUCAGGACAGUCAACCCUCCUGUUACCACAGCCACAUUCAAGUAAGUCAUCAGACUCCACUGUCAACUGCUUUUCCACAGAUUUCUUUGCCACAUGGCCUCUUGCAGAUGUUUCUCCAAGCUUCACGAGCAAAGCCGCCUUCUCUAGUUACAGCCUGGCCUACCUAAAGGCCAGAGUCCCCAGUGUGUCUCUUGGACAUCACCAGUCCCUGAAGCCCAUAGUAAAUAUUAGUACUUGUCCCAUUCACACAUGUUACUCCGGUCUUUCAAAAGGAGUCUAUGAAACUCUUCCCAAACCUUAUCAAAGACCAACUCUUGAGCUGGCGAGAUGAUGCAGCCAGUAAACGAACUUGCUG